rnacentral:rRNA from 1 species
GACGAACGCUGGCGGCGUGCUUAACACAUGCAAGUCGAACGGAGUGGCGAACGGGUGAGUAACACGUGGGUGAUCUGCCUUGCACUUCGGGAUAAGCUUGGGAAACUGGGUCUAAUACCGGAUAGUGCAAGAUGAGCUCGCGGCCUAUAAGCUUGUGGGUGGGGUAAUGGCCUACCAAGGCGUCGACGGGUAGCCGGCCUGAGAGGGUGUACGGCGACAUUGGGACUGAGAGACGGCGCAGAGGCCAACGGGGGGCAGCAGUGGGGAGUAUUGCACAAUGAGCGGGAGCCUGAUGCAGCGACGCCGCGUGGGGAAUGAAGGCCUUCGGGUUAUGAACUCCUUUCGGCAGGGACGCGGUACCUGUAUAAGAAGCACCGGCUAACUACGUGCCAGCCGCCGCGGUAAUUC